AUCCCCCGACCUCUAUACUUCUGACACAAGGCUGUGUGAAGGCAGCCAUAAAUUCCAAAGGAGAAUGUACUGCCUCAUGGCCACAGUAUGGAGAGAGAGGGAGACAAAGGAAUUCUUCCAACUCACAGGACGGGGGAACCGAACGACAUUUAUUUUCUGGAAAAGAGGUGAGUCUUCAGUUAAUUACUCACCAACUGAAUCGAGAUCUGCUCAGCCAAGAUACACACACAGAAGCCAGGUGGUGACACGCAUCUCUGCGUGCCUGGCAGAUAUCUCAGCUUGGAUGUCGGCCCACCACCUCAACCCCGACAAUACGGAGCUGCUCUUCCUCCCGGGAAAGGCAUGCCUGCUCCAAGACCUCUCCGUCAUGGUUGACAACUCCACUGUGUACCCCUCCCAGAGUGCAAAGAACCUU
rnacentral:lncRNA from 1 species